rnacentral:rRNA from 1 species
UCAAACUGAAGAUGGCGACCGGCGCACGGGUGAGUAACACGUAUCCAACCUGCCGAUAACUCUGGAAUAGCCUUUCGAAAGAAAGAUUAAUACCGGAUAGUAUACGAAUAUCGCAUGAUAUUUUUAUUAAAGAAUUUCGGUUAUCGAUGGGGAUGCGUUCCAUUAGUUUGUUGGCGGGGUAACGGCCCACCAAGACUACGAUGGAUAGGGGUUCUGAGAGGAAGGUCCCCCACAUUGGAACUGAGACACGGUCCAAACUCCUACGGGAGGCAGCAUG